rnacentral:rRNA from 1 species
GACGAACGCUGGCGGCGUGCCUAAUACAUGCAAGUAGAACGCUGAAGAGAGGAGCUUGCUCUUCUUGGAUGAGUUGCGAACGGGUGAGUAACGCGUAGGUAACCUGCCUGGUAGCGGGGGAUAACUAUUGGAAACGAUAGCUAAUACCGCAUAAAAUGGAUUAUCGCAUGAUAAUCCAUUGAAAGGUGCAAAUGCAUCACUACCAGUUGGACCUGCGUUGUAUUAGCUAGUUGGUGGGGUAACGGCUCACCAAGGCGACGAUACAUAGCCGACCUGAGAGGGUGAUCGGCCACACUGGGACUGUGACACGGCCCAGACUCCUACGGGAGGCAGCAGUAGGGAAUCUUCGGCAAUGGACGGAAGUCUGACCGAGCAACGCCGCGUGAGUGAAGAAGGUUUUCGGAUCGUAAAGCUCUGUUGUAAGAGAAGAACGAGUGUGAGAGUGGAAAGUUCACACUGUGACGGUAUCUUACCAGAAAGGGACGGCUAACUACGUG